UAAGUGUAUAGAAAACACACUAAGGGUACUCAUGUAAACGAUUAAAAGUCAGGCAAACUGUGCAAUCUGUGCAUUUUUCAACUCUCCAAAAUUAAAUUUUUAAAAUUGUAUUGAAAUUCAUUUGCACAACCCAAAUAAAUUUACUCGACAAUUUAGCCUGGCAAACUUGAAUUGUUUAGUUGUGCAUUUGAUAAAUGAAAUUAAAAAUUAUUUUCAUUUGUCAAUUUUUUUAAACGGGAUAGAAAAAAUCUUAACAAAUUUAUAAUUUCGCAAAUAAGUGCCUUUAAAAAAGGGGGUUUUCAUUAAUUCGUGCAAAAAGAUUUAUGUAUACAUUUGUAAAUAAAUGGCGGAGAAAACAACAGAGAAGCCUUUAAGCAAAAAAGAAUAAAUGGAACUCAUCGUUGGACUGAUGCGGAAACGCUCCAUUUAGUGCAAGAAGUUGCUGAAGAAGUAAAAGACAAGAUAGAAUCAUAUGAAAAACCAACCGCGCAAUAUUUUUAUAAAAAAAUUGCAGCAAAAUCAACUAUACCAAAAUCUAUUGAAUGGGUGCCUAUGAAAAAUAAAAUGAGACAUCUUAAAUCAUCUUAUAUGUCUGCACUCAAUUGGAGAAAUCAAACUGGUGCAGGUCUUCUUGCUACUGGGAAUGAAAAAACAGUCGAAGAAUACAUUGAUAAAAUUUGUCCAAUGUUUAAGUAUCUUGAACAAAUAUUUGGUCAAAGACGAGGUGUGAAUCCUUUAAUAAUUAUAGAGACGUCAAUGGAGGAUCAAGAUAUUGAUUGUGUUGUUGGAGAAGUAGAAAUCUUUCAGGUUUUAUUGAUAAAGAAGAAUUCUUUGAAACUUCCGAAAACAAUACAAGUAGUUCUCCAGAAGCUUCAUUUAGCUCACAGACAUCAAUUGAUUCUAUAUCAUUAAAAGAAUCUAUGAAAAAAAUUCCAAAAAAGACUCCAAAAUCGAAAAACACGAGUCUAUUUUCUAUGCUAAUUUCCCUACAAGAAAAGAAAUUGGAAAUAGAAGUAAAAAAAUUUGACCUUGAAAGAGAAAUAUCCGAAAAUGAAAUUAAAAUGAAAAAAGCCAAGCUAGAACAAGAUUUAGAAAUAAGAAAACUUCAAAUUGAAAGCGAAGAAAGAAUUAAAAAAUAUGAAAUAGAAGUUAAAUAUAAAUCUAACACUAACAGUAAUUAAAAAGCAUUUAAUUGUUAUAAUUGCGUUUUAAUAUUAUAUUAAUAAAACAUCGUUAUGCGUUUUGUUCUUUAAUUAAUUCCAACAGUGCCCGUCUUUUUACUUCCCCCUCGAUUGUGGAGUGAUUUGCAGGUUCUUCGUUAUAAUUUUCCAUUUCAAUCUCACAGGGAUUUUCAGUGGAUAACGUUAAAUCAAUUUCUUCUUCAUUCUGGUCCAAUAAAAUAUUAUGCAACAUGGCGCAUACCAAAAUCCAAUUACAGGCACGUUUAAUAGAUGACUUGUUUUUUAUUUGUAUUUUUAAAUCUUUUAGGCUUUUAAAACGAUCUUUCAUUAUACCAAAGCAGUGUUCAAUCCUUAUUCGGU
rnacentral:misc_RNA from 1 species